rnacentral:lncRNA from 1 species
GGUGCUCAUCUACUAUUGAAAUUAUCAUUUAUAAUAUGAUGACUUAGUCGAGUCUCUCUGUCAAGUGGUCAGGUUAGCCGACUAAAGUCGGAUCUGAUUAUUUAGUAGUUGGAUUCAUAAGUAUGAUCAUAUUAAUGGUUGGACCUAACUAAGGCUUGCAAAGACGACCAAAGUCAACUGAAAAGUUACUUGGGGCUAAAUUAAUUAUUAAAAAUUAUUUACUAAAAUAAUUGGUUAAGAACCUAUCCAUAUAUGUACAUGGAUAGCCUGCCAAAGUCAGGCUCAUG